rnacentral:piRNA from 1 species
UACUGUGGGUAAUGAGCCAGACAGG